UACGGGGGGGGGCAAGCGUUGUUCGGAAUUACUGGGCGUAAAGAGCGUGUAGGCGGCCAGGUAGGUCGGUUGUGAAAACUGGAGGCUCAACCUUCAGAGGUCGACCGAAACCAUCUGGCUAGAGUCCGGGAGAGGAGAGUGGAAUUCCUGGUGUAGCGGUGAAAUGCGCAGAUAUCAGGAAGAACACCCGUGGCGAAAGCGGCUCUCUGGAACGGUACUGACGCUGAGACGCGAAAGCGUGGGGAGCGAACAGG
rnacentral:rRNA from 1 species